AAGUUGAAAAUAAUAAGCGCAUGAAGAAAAGUUUACUGUUUCCCUGGUUACUGUUAAGAACUUCUACCUUUCAACUUUGAACCUUGGAGAGAAGAUCAUGCAACAUGGCAGAGAAAAAAAAAACUCCACAGUACAGUCCCUGCUGUUUCUUAUCAUAUCUGUAGUUUUUGUUCAUUUGUUGAUAUGCCCUUACACCAAGGUAGAGAAGAGUUUUAAUUUUCAGGCAAUUCACGACAUUCUUUACCACAGAUUGGAUUUAGAAAUGUAUGACCAUAAUGAUUUUCCUGUUGUCCCAAGAACAUUUCUUGGACCACUUUUUAUUUCAGUACUGUGUUCACCAGUAGUGUAUGUCCUUUCAGUUCUUGAAGCAUCAAAGUUUUACUCACAGAUAACAGUUCUGCUGGCCUUUACUGCUUGGUUGCAACAAAAGCAUGGUAUCUUUACCAGUCUAUCCGCCCUUGCAAUCAUUGUAUUUAGAUCUGAACUCUGCAUAUUCCUGGGCCUUAUGUUACUGAUGGCUUUGGUAAAUGGAAGGCUUUCUGUCAUACAGUUGUUUUUCUACACAGUUCCAGCUGGUAUAAUCUGCCUUGGCCUUACAGUUGCAGUUGAUUCUGUUUUCUGGAAACAUCUGAUAUGGCCUGAAGGAGAGGUACUUUGGUACAACACAGUUUUGAAUAAAAGCUCGAACUGGGGAAUAUCCUUUUUAUUUUUCAUAUCUCAUCAAGAGGUCCUCAAUUUUUGUUGUAGCUAACAAGGGUAUACCAAAUAUAUUUCAUGCCAUGUACCUCCAUUCAGCUAUGGACAAACUACAUGAAGUAUUACCUUCAACUGCAGGUUAGUACAAUUUUAUUUUGUAUUUCUGUAGUAUUUUAUGGUUUGUUUCUCCCCAACAGCUGUAUCCCAGUAAUUAAAACACAUUUUAAUUUGUUGUCAUCUUUUAGGGGAACAGUUUUAAGUACAAAUAAAAUACAAUUAAGAUCUGUCACCAUUAAUUCGGAUAAACUGCAAUGUUCUGAAAGGGAAACUUAAAUUAAAUUCUUACAGGUAUUUUCUCUUGAUAGGUGCCUUGAUAGGUUGUGUGAGCCUCUCACCACAACAAUAAUUUGAGUUGUAAUAUCCCUUUAAUUUGCUUCUGAGGUCAAUUCAAUUUAAUUCCAGAUGUUUAAAUUCACAUCAGCGAGGCUGCAGCACAAAAUGGGGUUUCACGCUUUCUGCAGCUUAACAAUAACUGGAGGAAUUGAUAAAGUGAGCUAUGGAGGAGGACCUGAGGUGAUACCAAGCUGCUAGAGAGACGGACGGAGCAGCGACAUCACAGAGGCAGUUUUGUAACUAACCGUUCAUCGAUGCUGCAUUUGCACAAUAAUUUCCCUGGUUAAUACUAUUUUCUUACGAAUAAUAACUAUCCCUGUAUAUUUAUUACAGCUUUGUCAGUCUGAAACCAACUACAAAGCAUUACUUAGGGUGAAUGUUAGUCUGGUAACUGUAUAGGCUACAUCUACUCUAAUAUGAAUAAUAACAAUAAUCUUAAACUAUCAAUGUUAUUUAGGAUUCAACCCAUUUAUUUAUUUAUAUAAGCAUCAGAGUAAUAUUCUCUACACGUAGUUCAUCGCUGGAUUUUAUAUUCUGCACACAACUCGCUAUCCUAUUGUCUUCAGAUAUUAAAAAAACAAAAACAAAAAAAAAAAUCUAAACACUGCUGUUUAGAGACGUAGUUACUGCAUUUUGGUUGCACGUUACACAGCACUGGGAAAAUUAGUGUUUCAGUGUUCUUCUGUUAUUGCUAAGCACGCCUGACCAAAAAUUUAAUUCUGUGCUGGAAGAAAUUCAAGUACAAAUAUCGGUGUACAUUAAAAUCAGCUAAAAUAACAAAAACUGCCGAUAGCCAAUUGUGUUUUUUUCUGGUGCCAUGCUGAUAUCUACCAAUUAUCGGUGCACCCCUAGUUAUUAUUAUUCAUUAAUUCACUUGCAAUUUGAACCUUAACA